AGAACUGAAUUGGAAAUUCAAAGGUGCUGCAAAGCUUUUUCUCCGACAAACUUCUGCCAUGAGAGCUGACAGCAUGCAAUCUUUAUCUCAGUGACAUUCUCAGAAACAAAGAUACAGUGAAUGAUAAAACAUUAGGAGGAGACAAGCGGCAGAAGUAGUUUAAAGAGGCUGCUGCACUGAGAUCACCUCAACCCUGAGAUCAGGAGCUCAGAAUAACAAAGCAUCUGAAGCAGCUCAGAUACUCCACAGUCCAACACUGCUGACACAGGAGAGGGAUGACAUGGAAACAAACGCAGACGCAGCAGACGGCCUUCAGAAGAAGUC